rnacentral:rRNA from 1 species
GAUGAACGCUAGCUACAGGCUUAACACAUGCAAGUCGAGGGGCAGCGGGAUUGAAGCUUGCUUCAAUUGCCGGCGACCGGCGCACGGGUGAGUAACGCGUAUCCAACCUUCCGUACACUCAGGGAUAGCCUUUCGAAAGAAAGAUUAAUACCUGAUGGUAUGAUGAGAUUGCAUGAUAUCAUCAUUAAAGAUUUAUCGGUGUACGAUGGGGAUGCGUUCCAUUAGGUAGUAGGCGGGGUAACGGCCCACCUAGCCAACGAUGGAUAGGGGUUCUGAGAGGAAGGUCCCUCACAUUGGAACUGAGACACGGUCCAAACUCCUACGGGAGGCAGCAGUGAGGAAUAUUGGUCAAUGGACGAGAGUCUGAACCAGCCAAGUAGCGUGAAGGAUGAAGGUCCUACGGAUUGUAAACUUCUUUUAUAAGGGAAUAAACCCUCCCACGUGUGGGAGCUUGUAUGUACCUUAUGAAUAAGCAUCGGCUAACUCCGUG